rnacentral:rRNA from 1 species
GAUUAACGCUGGCGGCGUGCAUAACACAUGCAAGUCGAACGAUGAAACUUAGUAGACUUCUUCGAAAAGACACUAAGCGGAUUAGUGGCGAACGGGUGAGUAACGCGUGAGUAACCUGCCUUACACAAGGGGAUAGCCUUUGGAAACGAAGAAUAAUACCCUAUAAAACCAUAAAAGCACAUGCUAGAAUGGUCAAAGUGAUAGCGGUGUAAGAUGGACUUGCGUCUGAUUAGCUAGUUGGUGAGAUAAAAGCUCACCAAGGCAACGAUCAGUAGCCGGCUUGAGAGAGUGUACGGCCACAUUGGGACUGAGACACGGCCCAGACUCCUACGGGAGGCAGCAGUGGGGAAUUUUGCACAAUGGGGGAAACCCUGAUGCAGCGACGCCGCGUGAUUUAGAAGGCCUUCGGGUUGUAAAAAUCUUUUGUAUAGGAAGAAAAUGACAGUACUAUACGAAUAAGGUCCUGCUAAUUACGUG